AGCAGCUGGCAGCAGCCUCUUUAGCAGCCGGCAGCAGCCUCUUUAGCAACCCAUUGCUCAAUUGUAAUUCUUUCCGAACCCAUCCACACACUUCCAAUUCAUGCCAAAUAACCUCACAAAGCCACCAAUUUAAUCUAAAAAUAAUUAAUUCCCAUUUUAGCAUUAUUGUGAUCAAUUUAGUCACAAUUAGCUCGAAAUCGAAAUUCGAUAUAUUACAAUCUCCCCUCCUUAAAUAGUUUCGUCCUCGAAACUUAAAUUCAUACCUUAGUUCUCUUGAUCGAACAGA
rnacentral:lncRNA from 1 species